rnacentral:rRNA from 1 species
GAUGAACGCUGGCGGCGUGCCUAAUACAUGCAAGUCGAGCGGACGGACGAGAAGCUUGCUUCUCUGAUGUUAGCGGCGGACGGGUGAGUAACACGUGGAUGACCUACCUAUAAGACUGGGAUAACUUCGGGAAACCGGAGCUAAUACCGGAUAAUAUUUUGAACCGCAUGGUUCAAAAGUGAAAGACGGUCUUGCUGUCACUUAUCGAUGGAUCCGCGCUGCAUUAGCUAGUUGGUAAGGUAACGGCUUACCAAGGCAACGAUGCAUAGCCGACCUGAGAGGGGGAUCGCCCACACUGGAACUGGGACAGCGUCCAGACGCCUACGGGAGGCAGCAGAAGGGAAUGGUCCGCAAUGGUCGAAAGCCUGACGGAGCAACGCCGCGUGAGUGAUGAAGGUCUUCGGAUCGUAAAGCUCUGUUAUGAGGGAAGAACAUAUGUGUAAGGAACUGUGCACAGCGUGACGGUACCUAAUCAGAAAGCCACGGCUAACUACGUG